rnacentral:rRNA from 1 species
UACGGGGGGAGCAAGCGUUGUUCGGAUUUACUGGGCGUAAAGGGCGCGUAGGCGGUCAGCACAAGUCAGUUGUGAAAUCUCCGGGCUUAACUCGGAAAGGUCAACUGAUACUGUGCGACUGGAGUGCAGAAGGGGCAACUGGAAUUCUCGGUGUAGCGGUGAAGUGCGUAGAUAUCGAGAGGAACACCUGCGGCGAAGGCGGGUUGCUGGGCUGACACUGACGCUGAUGCGCGAAAGCCAGGGGAGCCAACGGG